rnacentral:rRNA from 1 species
CCUACGGGAGGCUGCAGUGAGGAAUAUUGGUCAAUGGGCGGAAGCCUGAACCAGCCAAGUAGCGUGCAGGAUGACGGCCCUACGGGUGGUAAACUGCUUUUAUACGGGAAUAACGCGCCUUACGUGUAGGGCUUUGCAUGUACCGUAUGAAUAAGGACCGGCUAAUUCCGUGCCAGCAGCCGCGGUACUACGGAAGGUCCGGGCGUUAUCCGGAUUUAGGGGGUUUAAAGGGAGCGUAGGCCGCAUGUCAAGCGUGCUGUGAAAUGUCCGGGCUCAACCCGGGCCUUGCAGCGCGAACUGGCGUGCUUGAGUCCGCGAGAGGCAGGCGGAAUUCGUCGUGUAGCGGUUAACUGCUUAGAUAUGACGAAGAACCCCGAUUGCGAAGGCAGCUUGCUGCAGCGGAACUGACGCUGAUGCUCGAAAGCGCGGGUAUCGAACAGGAUUAGAUACCCUUGUAGUC